UUUCCAUUCACCGCUCGGGGCGGGAUAACCCAGCAAGCUGCGCAUGCGCACAACGCUCAUCGCGGUCAGCCCCUAGCAACCCACACGCGCCAUCGCCGGAGGUGUGCGGCCUUUUUUUUAUUCGCCUGCACACUCUACAAGCAAGGUCGCAUGAACGGAGUCCCGGAUUCCGGGGCUGUCCAGGGGGCCGCAUCCCCAUCGUCGACAUCUCCCAAAGACACUAUUGUCAGGACAGCUGGCAGACUGCCUGACUGGGGACGCCG